GACGAACGCUGGCGGCGUGCUUAACACAUGCAAGUCGAGCGGUAAGGCCCUUUCGGGGGUACACGAGCGGCGAACGGGUGAGUAACACGGGGGUGACCUGCCCUCAGCUCUGGGAUAAGCCUGGGAAACCGGGUCUAAUACUGGAUAUGACUCCAUGACGCAUGUUGUGGGGUGGAAAGCCUUGUGCGGCUGAGGAUGGGCCCGCGGCCUAUCAGCUUGUUGGUGGGGUGAUGGCCUACCAAGGCGACGACGGGUAGCCGGCCUGAGAGGGCGACCGGCCACACUGGGACUGAGACACGGCCCAGACUCCUACGGGAGGCAGCAGUGGGGAAUCUUGCGCAAUGGGCGAAAGCCUGACGCAGCGACGCCGCGUGUGUGAUGAAGGUCUUCGGAUCGUAAAGCACUUUCGACCGGGACGAAACCCCGUU
rnacentral:rRNA from 1 species